AUGGCUCCCACCAAGAAGGCGGUACGAACCCUAAUCGAUCCCCACCCGCCGCUCCUCCCAUUUCGGCCUGAUUCGUUCUCUGGUGGUUAUCUCGCCGUGUCUUUCUUUCUGAGAGAUCUUCUCACUUUUUUGAUUGAUGGAUGCGCUCUGCAGAAGAAGAGCGGGGAGAACAUCAACAACAAGAUGCAGCUGGUGAUGAAGAGCGGCAAGUACACACUCGGCUACAAGACCGUCCUCAAGACGCUGCGCAGCUCCAAGGGUAUGGAUCUUUUUGUCACUGUUGAUUGA
rnacentral:rRNA from 1 species